rnacentral:rRNA from 1 species
CCGGCACGGGUGAGUAACACGUAUGCAAUCCACCUGUAACAGGGGGAUAACCCGGAGAAAUCCGGACUAAUACCCCAUAAUAUGGGCGCUCCGCAUAGAGAGCCCAUUAAAGAGAGCAAUUUUGGUUACAGACGAGCAUGCGCUCCAUUAGCCAGUUGGCGGGGUAACGGCCCACCAAAGCGACGAUGGAUAGGGGUUCUGAGAGGAAGGUCCCCCACAUUGGAACUGAGACACGGUCCAA